rnacentral:rRNA from 1 species
GAUGAACGCUGGCGGCGUGCCUAAUACAUGCAAGUCGAGCGAACGGACGAGAAGCUUGCUUCUCUGAUGUUAGCGGCGGACGGGUGAGUAACACGUGGAUAACCUACCUAUAAGACUGGGAUAAUUUCGGGAAACCGGAGCUAAUACCGGAUAAUAUUUUGAACCGCAUGGUUCAAAAGUGAAAGACGGUCUUGCUGUCACUUAUUGAUGGAUCCGCGCUGCAUUAGCUAGUUGGUAAGGUAACGGCUUACCAAGGCAACGAUGCAUAGCCGACCUGAGAGGGUGAUCGGCCACACUGGAACUGAGACACGGUCCAGACUCCUACGGGAGGCAGCAGUAGGGAAUCUUCCGCAAUGGGCGAAAGCCUGACGGAGCAACGCCGCGUGAGUGAUGAAGGUCUUCGGAUCGUAAAACUCUGUUAUUAGGGAAGAACAUAUGUGUAAGUAACUGUGCACAUCUUGACGGUACCUAAUCAGAAAGCCACGGCUAACUACGUG